GUACAGGCCCGGUGCGCGCAAGGGUCGCCGCCCGGUCGAAGAGAGAUGCGCGCCGCACCUGCCCCGUUCGCGGGGCCGGGGAAGCCGUUCGAGCAGCGUCGUGUCGCGGUCCGGGACUGUCCUCAGUCCCGGGUCGUCUCGGCGCGGUUCCGAGCGGUCGCUCCCUCGCGAGGUGCCGCGGGUCAGCGGCUGACGCCAGCCACCUUCCCGACCCGUCUUGAAACACGGACCAAGGAGUCUAACAUGUGCGCGAGCCGCGGGGCAGUACGAAACCCGUAAGGCGAAAUGAAGGUGAACGCCGGCGCGGUCCGGCGGAGGUUGGAUCCCGUCCCGUCGGGGCGGGCGCACUACCGGCCGAUCUUCUCCGCCCUGUCGGCGAGGUCGAGCGAGAGCGUGCAAGUCGGGACCCGAAAGAUGGUGAACUAUGCCUGAGGAGGUUGAAGCCAGAGGAAACUCUGGUGGAGGACCGUAGCGAUUCUGACGUGCAAAUCGAUCGUCAAAUUUGGGUAUAGGGGCGAAAGACUAAUCGAACCGUCUAGUAGCUGGUUCCCUUCGAAGUUUCCCUCAGGAUAGCUGGCGCUCUGUCGCAGUUUUAUCUGGUAAAGCGAAUGAUUAGAGGUCUUGGGGGCGAAACGCCCUCAGCCUAUUCUCAAACUUUAAAUUGGUAAG
rnacentral:ncRNA from 1 species